rnacentral:rRNA from 1 species
CUAGCAAAUCCCAUAAACCGUGGCUCAGUUCAGAUCGUAGGCUGCAACUCGCCUACGUGAAGUAGGAAUCGCUAGUAAUCGCAGGUCAGCAUACUGCGGUGAAUACGUUCCCGAGCCUUGUACACACCGCCCGUCACACCAUGGAAGUUGGCCACGCCCGAAGUCGUUACUUUAACCCUUGUGGAGAAGGACGCCGAAGGUGGGGCUGAUGACUGGGGUGAAGUCGUAACAAGGUAGCCGUACCGGAAGGUGCGGCUGGAUCACCUCCUAA